rnacentral:lncRNA from 1 species
AUUUCAUAUAUAACGGUACAGUGCUGUUAAUUAUAUUCACCAUGUUGUGCCUCACAUCACUAGCACUUACUUACCUUAUAACUUGAAGUUUGUAUCUUUUUAGUACCUUCAUCCAGUUCCUACUUGUACUACCCUCUGCCUUUGGUAACCACAAAAUGUGAUCUCUAAAAAAGCUAAUUUACUUGAGAAAUAUCCUUUACCUCUUUGAACCUCAUAUUCUUUAUAAAAAAUUAGUUCACUAUCUCUGAUCUAUUUCAACUUUAAUAUUACAUUUUUCUGUUAACUAAACUAGUUUAUUCAAGUCUUCACAGUUUUAAAUGUGAGGAAGAAAGCUUGUUUUGAAAUAGUAAAUCUUUGGCCAAUUAUCUUUAGGUGUUUGAAUACUGAAGAAGCUGCAAAUGAAGAUGAAAGAGAAUUAGAAGAACUUAGAAAGCAUGGCAUAACUCCUCUUCCCAAACCACCUCCAGGAGUUGGACUUCUGCCAACCCCACUAGAGCAUUUUCCCUUUUCUGAUCCUGAAGAUGGUUUUCAGACAGAUCUCUCUGAUGAUUUCAAGAAGAUUCCAUCUCUUUUUGAAAUAGUUGUAAAACCUACUGUGGAUUUAGCACAUAAAAUUGGAAAGAAGCCACCAGCAUUUUAUAACAGUGCCUCACCACCAGGACCACAAUUUCAGGAAAGCAGCCCACAUCCUCAACAUGUCUAUAGUUCGGGGUCAAGUCCAGGUCCUGGCCCUAACAUGUCUCAGGGACACAACAGUCCUGUGAUCCACCCAGGCUCCCCUGGACACUGUCCUGGCCUACCAGUGCCACAGAGCCCACCUUUGCUGCCUGGCCCCCCAGGAAUUGUGGGCCCUCACGGUCAAGCUGGAGUACUUGUCAACCCAGAUACGCCUUUGACACCACCAAAUAUGAGUGGUUCUUACCACUGCUCGGCUUUCCAGAACAUGUAAUGAAAGUACCUAGAGAGAAUCACUGCUCUCCAGGCUCAUCGCACCCACCUGGUGAAAGGCAGCUCAGUACCAGCUAUGAUUCCUUACAAAAUCCCGCUGAGUUUUAUGAUCAUUACUAUUCACAGCAUGCUGUCCAUAAUUUUCAGCCACCCAGUCACUCUGGUGGUAAGUUUACCUUUCUAAAUAACUCAUUUCUAACUUAAAAUAUCUGGAGUCCUAUGUUUCUUUAGUAACAUGAAA